AUGCUGUAUGAAAGGAGAGAAGGUUAGCACUCCCCUUGACAAGAAUGGAAGAGGCCCUCGGGCCUGACAACACACAUAUGGUUAAAACUAGCACCUAAUUCCUCAGUAGCCUGGCAGGAACUGGGAAUGGUGGCCUAUGUUUUAA
ensembl:snRNA